AGAGUAUUAGGUAGAUAUAGUGUGUUAGGGGUAUUAGGUAGAUAUAGUGGUGUAGGCGUAUUAGGUAGAUGCAGUGGUUGUAGAGUAUUAGGUAGAUAUAGUGUGUUAGGGGUAUUAGGUAGAUGUCGUGGUGUAGGCGUAUUAGGUAGAUGCAGUGGUGUAGGGGAAUUAGGAGAUGUAGGGGUAUUGGAUAGAUGUAGUGGUGUAGGGGUAUUGGAUAGAUGUAGUGGUGUAAGGGUAUUAGGUAGAUGUAGUGGUGUAGGGGUAUUGGAUAGAUGUAGUGGUGUAAGGGUAUUAGGUAGAUGUAGUGGUGUAGGGGUAUUGGAUAGAUGUAGUGGUGUAGGCGUAUUAAAAAUCAAAUCAAAUCAAAUUUUAUUUUUAUUUGUCACAUACACAUGGUUAGCAG
ensembl:lncRNA